UGCCCCAUGGCUGAGUUGGUUACAGCGUCCGACUGUUAUGUAUCUCAAAUAUGCCGGUUUGUAUAUAGAACAUACAUCAAUCGGAAGGUCGAGAGUUCGAGCCUCUCUGGGGCAG
rnacentral:tRNA from 1 species